GACGAACGCUGGCGGCGUGCCUAAUACAUGCAAGUCGAGCGAGCGGAACUAACAGAUUUACUUCGGUAAUGACGUUAGGACAGCGAGCGGCGGAUGGGUGAGUAACACGUGGGGAACCUGCCCCAUAGUCUGGGAUACCACUUGGAAACAGGUGCUAAUACCGGAUAAGAAAGCAGAUCGCAUGAUCAGCUUUUAAAAGGCGGCGUAAGCUGUCGCUAUGGGAUGGCCCCGCGGUGCAUUAGCUAGUUGGUAAGGUAAAGGCUUACCAAGGCGAUGAUGCAUAGCCGAGUUGAGAGACUGAUCGGCCACAUUGGGACUGAGACACGGCCCAAAAUCCUACGGGAGGCAGCAGUAGGGAAUCUUCCACAAUGGACGCAAGUCUGAUGGAGCAACGCCGCGUGAGUGAGGAAGGUUUUCGGAUCGUAAAGCUCUGUUGUUGGUGAAGAAGGAUAGAGGUAGUAACUGGCCUUUAUUUGACGGUAAUCAACCAGAAAGUCACGGCUAACUACGUG
rnacentral:rRNA from 1 species